rnacentral:rRNA from 1 species
UACGUAGGGUGCAAGCGUUAAUCGGAAUUACUGGGCGUAAAGCGUGCGCAGGCGGUUUUGUAAGUCAGAUGUGAAAUCCCCGGGCUUAACCCGGGAACUGCGUUUGAAACUACAAGGCUAGAGUGUGGCAGAGGGGGGUGGAAUUCCACGUGUAGCAGUGAAAUGCGUAGAGAUGUGGAGGAACACCGAUGGCGAAGGCAGCCCCCUGGGUUAACACUGACGCUCAGGCACGAAAGCGUGGGGAGCAAACAGG